AACCAUAGAAACCUGCGGAGUACCUGCGGAGGGAUCAUUACAGAGUUGCAAAACUCCCUAAACCAUUGUGAACGUUACCUAAACCGUUGCUUCGGCGGGCGGCCCGGGUCCUUCCCGGCGCCCAUCGGCCCUCGCGGGCGCCCGCCGGAGGUAAACCGAACUAUUGCAUUGUAUGGCCUCUCUGAGUCUUCUGUACUGAAUAAGUCAAAACUUUCAACAACGGAUCUCAGAUCGGAAGAG
rnacentral:misc_RNA from 1 species